rnacentral:rRNA from 1 species
UAUGUAGGGUGCGAGCGUUGUCCGGAAUUACUGGGCGUAAAGAGCUCGUAGGUGGUUUGUCGCGUUGUCCGUGAAAACUCACAACUCAAUUGUGGGCGUGCGGGCGAUACGGGCAGACUGGAGUACUGCAGGGGAGACUGGAAUUCCUGGUGGAGCGGUGAAAUGCGCAGAUAUCAGGAGGAACACCCGUAGCGAAGGCGGCACUCUGGGCCGAUUCUGACACUGAGGAGCGAAAGCGUGGGGAGCGAACAGG